rnacentral:rRNA from 1 species
AUUGAACGCUGGCGGCAUGCCUUACACAUGCAAGUCGAAUGGCAGCACGGGAGCAAUCCUGGUGGCGAGUGGCGAACGGGUGAGUAAUGUAUCGGAACGUGCCCAGUCGUGGGGGAUAACGUAGCGAAAGCUACGCUAAUACCGCAUACGAUCUAUGGAUGAAAGCGGGGGGUCGCAAGACCUCGCGCGAUUGGAGCGGCCGAUAUCAGAUUAGGUAGUUGGUGGGGUAAAGGCGCACCAAGCCGACGAGCUGUAGCUGGUCUGGGAGGACGACCAGCCACACUGGGACUGAGACACGGCCCAGACUCCUACGGGAGGCAGCAGUGGGGAAUUUUGGACAAUGGGCGAAAGCCUGAUCCAGCAAUGCCGCGUGCAGGAUGAAGGCCUUCGGGUUGUAAACUGCUUUUGUACGGAACGAAACGGCGAACUCUAAUACAGUUUGCUAAUGACGGUACCGUAAGAAUAAGCACCGGCUAACUACGUGCCAGCCGCCGCCGUAA